UACGGGGGGGGCAAGCGUUGUUCGGAAUUACUGGGCGUAAAGGGCUCGUAGGUGGCCAACUAAGUCAGACGUGAAAUCCCUCGGCUUAACCGGGAACUGCGUCUGAUACUGGAAGGCUUGAGUGCGGGAGAGGGAUGUGGAAUUCCAGGUGUAGCGGUGAAAUGCGUAGAUAUUGGGAGGAACACCAGUGGCGAAGGCGGCUCACUGGACUGGUACUGACGCUGAGGCGCGAAAGCGUGGGGAGCAAACGGG
rnacentral:rRNA from 1 species